rnacentral:rRNA from 16 species
GUGUGCGAUCAUACCAGCACUAAAGCACCGGAUCCCAUCAGAACUUCAAAGUUAAGCUUGCUUGGGCGAGAGUAGUACUAGGAUGGGUGACCUCCUGGGAAGUCCUCGUGUUGCAUUCC